GCCCCGGCUAACUACGUGCCAGCAGCCGCGGUAAUACGUAGGGGGCGAGCGUUAUCCGGAAUUAUUGGGCGUAAAGAGUAUGUAGGUGGUUUCUUAAGCGCAGGGUUUAAGGCAAUGGCUCAACCAUUGUUCGCCCUGCGAACUGAGUAACUUGAGUGCAGGAGGGGAAAGCGGAAUUCCUAGUGUAGCGGUGAAAUGCGUAGAUAUUAGGAGGAACACCAGUGGCGAAGGCGGCUUUCUGGACUGUAACUGACACUGAGAUACGAAAGCGUGGGGAGCAAACAGGAUUAGAUACCCUGGUAGUCCACGCCGUAAACGAUGAGCACUAGGUGUCGGGGUCGCAAGACUUCGGUGCCGCAGUUAACGCAUUAAGUGCUCCGCCUGGGGAGUACGCACGCA
rnacentral:rRNA from 1 species